rnacentral:piRNA from 1 species
CAGAAGUUAGUGACUUCCUUGGC